rnacentral:sRNA from 1 species
UCCGACAGGAUGUCGGUGUAAGCUAUAGGGAAGCGAGUUUUUGUAAAAAACUCGUCGUCCAACAAGGUACAAGGACGUACCUUGUUGGACACUU